AUUGAAUAUAAAUUUUUAGGUUCACAUAUGUGAUUAAUAGGGAAGUCAGGUGUAAGACCUGCACAGCCCUCGCUGCCGUAAUUGUUUGCCGAAGUCGAAUACCACUGGGAUUACCCGGGAAGGUGACCAGGCCAUAAACAUCAGUCGGAAGACCUGCCUGAAAAGUGCAUUAUCA
rnacentral:ncRNA from 2 species